GAAAUGCGAUAAGUAGUGUGAAUUGCAGAAUUCAGUGAAUCAUCGAAUCUUUGAACGCACAUUGCGCCCUUUGGUAUUCCAAAGGGCAUGCCUGUUCGAGCGUCAUUUGUACCCUCAAGCUUUGCUUGGUGUUGGGCGUCUUGUCUCUAGCUUUGCUGGAGACUCGCCUUAAAGUAAUUGGCAGCCGGCCUACUGGUUUCGGAGCGCAGCACAAGUCGCACUCUCUAUCAGCAAAGGUCUAGCAUCCAUUAAGCCUUUUUUCAACCUUUGACCUCGGAUCAGGUAGGGAUACCCGCUGAACUUAAGC
rnacentral:misc_RNA from 1 species